rnacentral:rRNA from 1 species
CCCUUAGAUGUUCUGGGCUGCACGCGCGCUACACUGAUGCAUGCAACGAGUUUUCGACCUUGCCUGAAAAGGUUGGGUAAUCUGUUUAACAUGUGUCGUGAUGGGGAUAGACCAUUGCAAUUAUUGAUCUUCAACGAGGAAUUCCUAGUAAGCGCGAGUCAUCAGCUCGUGCUGAUUAUGUCCCUGCCCUUUGUACACACCGCCCGUCGCUGCCCGGAACUGAGCCGUUUCGAGAAGACUGAGGAUUGCUGACUUGAGGCCUUCACGGGCUUCUAGUCGGUGAAAAUCAAUUUAAUCGCAGCGGCUUGAACCGGGCAAAAGUCGUAACA